rnacentral:misc_RNA from 1 species
GAUGAAGAACGCAGCGAAAUGCGAUAAGUAAUGUGAAUUGCAGAAUUCAGUGAAUCAUCGAAUCUUUGAACGCACGUUGCGCCCGCCAGCAUUCUGGCGGGCAUGCCUGUUCGAGCGUCAUUUCAACCCUCGAGCCCCCCCGGGGGCCUCGGUGUUGGGGGACGGCACACCAGCCGCCCCCGAAAUGCAGUGGCGACCCCGCCGCAGCCUCCCCUGCGUAGUAGCACACACCUCGCACCGGAGCGCGGAGGCGGUCACGCCGUAAAACGCCCAACUUUCUUAGAGUUGACCUCGGAUCAGGUAGGAAUACCCGCUGAACUUAAGCAUAUCAAUAAGCGGAGGA